GGUGUUGUGGCUCAGCAGCAGAGCACUUGUCUAACAUGUGCAAGGCCCUGAGUUCAAUCCUCAGCACCACAU
rnacentral:tRNA from 1 species